rnacentral:tRNA from 4 species
GCGGUAAUAGUUUAAUGGUAAAAUUUUUGACUUCCAAUCAAGUAAUGUGGGUUCGAUUCUCACUUACCGCUA